rnacentral:rRNA from 1 species
UACGUAUGGGGCAAGCGUUAUCCGGAUUUACUGGGUGUAAAGGGAGCGUAGGCGGCGGGGCAAGCCUGAUGUGAAAGCCCGGGGCUCAACCCCGGGACUGCAUUGGGAACUGCCCUGCUGGAGUGCCGGGGGGGCAGGCGGAAUUCCUAGUGUAGCGGUGAAAUGCGUAGAUAUUAGGAGGAACACCAGUGGCGAAGGCGGCCUGCUGGACGGUGACUGACGCUGAGGCUCGAAAGCGUGGGGAGCAAACAGG